GUGCUCACCUCAGCAGCACAUAUACUAAAGUUGGAAUGAUACAGUUAAGAUUAGCAUGGCCCCUGUGCAAGCAUGACAUGCAAAUUCGUGAAGCAUUCCAUAUUUUU
rnacentral:snRNA from 1 species